rnacentral:misc_RNA from 1 species
GAGCUGUUCUUGAAGCGAGAAUCUAGAUUGUGCUUUCAAAUUUGAAGAAGAAUUUAACGACCCUGCAUCCAUUUUGAUAAAUACCUUACCAACAAAUCAACCAAAAAAAACAAAGACAAAUACAAACCGAGAAACCAAUUUUCCUGCAAAAAGAAAGAGAAUUGGAUAUAAAAAGAUAAAAACUAAACAGAAGAUAAUGAUAAAGAAAAGAAGAGAGCAGCGAGACAGAGAAGAGAGUGCUUCGUGCGCUUUGAUGUUUUUCUUUCAGAAAACACGAUUGUGAAUUGUCAAUUGAACACAUAUGUGGGUAUUGGAAUCCAUUAGGGUUUUUAUUUGCUUAGUUUGUUGAAUGAGAGGUGCCUUCAAGAUUUUGGGAAGAAGAAGAAAGAAGCCGUCAAGAUUUGUUUCAAAUGAAAA